CGAAUGUGGGGGCGGCUCCCAACAAAGUAAGGCGCUUCCUACACCCAUUUCCAGCUGGCCAAGUAGGACCAAGAUAAUCAUCACGGAGGAAGAGGAGAGGUGGGGAUGCCUCUCAGAUCAAAGUCUUCAAAGGCAAACCAGCUGCAUGUUUGUGAAGAUCGUGUUUGGCUCCGGCUCAAGCAGACAGCCCUGAAUGAGAUUCUUGGGGUAGCUACUGAAAACUGGCAGCAGCAGAAGCAGAGCCGGGUUUAUUUCAGAGGGCGUGUUAAGAAGCUGGACCCUUUCCUGGAAAAUCAGCUCCAGUGGAUUAAGAGCUCAUUUAUGAAAAUGAAACCACCACAGAGGCAGUGGCCAAGAGGGGAGAUGACAUCAAGGUUCCUAAAUAAGACACCAGACAUACUAGGCCUGCUUAUCAAACCACAAUUAACAGCAGACAACAAUAGCCAACAAGCAACAGCAGCCAAAACCAACCAACAACCCAACAAUAACCCACCUAUCAGAGCUCUAGCAUUUAUAUAAUACCCUCUGAAAAGUCUCCAGAAUUCCAGACACCCAUACACUCACAGAAACCAUAUGCAGCUGGCAAAAUCACGCCCCUGCUAGAGCAUGAGGCAAAUCAUAGUCAGCUAUGGUGGGCAGUCUGAAGCAGCCCCGUACCUCACACCUAGGAUUAAGACAAAAAUAUAUUCUUAAAUAUUCCUGUGGGUUUUUGGGUUUUUUUUUUUUACUUGGUUUGGUUUUUUUUGUUUUUCGAGACAAAGUUUCUCUGUAUAGCCCUGGCUGUCCUGGAACUCACUCUGUAGACCAGGCUGGCCUUGAACUCAGAAAUCCACCUGCCUCUGCCUCCCAAGUGUGCCACCACGCCCGGCUAUUCCUGUGGUUUUUUUUUUUUUUUUUUAAGAAACCAAAACUCCCAAUUUGUCACUAUAGAUAUUAUUUUAAGAUAAACAAGCAGAUUACAGAAAGAAUGAGUCUGCUCUGGUUUUAUUUUGAGAUAGGGUUUCUUAGUUUAACCCCGGCACUCACCAGGCUGGCCUCAAACUCACAGAGAUGGCCUGCCUCUGCCUCCCAAGUGAUUGAAGGUGUGCGCCAUUAUCACCCAGCAAGUUUGGCUCUCCGUUCUACUCCACAAAUACACUCUUCAUUUUGACCCAAAGAUUUUGACUCACACUUGGGUUCAUUUGGUCUGCUGACAUUCAGGCCCAUACUUACAUACUUCCUGUCCCCCAACGCUUAGCAGCAAACUGCACUUGGUAUAACCCUAGAUUUGUCUUUCUCUUCUUUUCAGUCUCACAGCACCUUGAGGCUCGUCCUUAUGAAUUAGGACUUGGUUGUCCUGCAUCAGCAAAGCUGUGUGACCUUCUUGGAAACCAGAGAGGCAGGAUUGAUGCUGACGCUUCAUAGGCUGUGGUAACCACGUGACUCACCGCCACGUGUCCACGCAGAAAAGUUACCCCUUGUUCAGCGCAUCCUCAGUGCAGCCCCAAGGCUGAAGUCGCCAGUACCCACCUCUCUGGGCAGCCCAGUGAUGUCCCUCAGCGAUGAGACUUCAGCAAAGGUCCCCCAAGAGUGGGCUGCACUGUUGGCAAACCUCCUCAGGAACGGCUCCUCGGUGGUGGUCCCUCAGCAGCAACAACCUCUCAAGAAUGGUCCCUGGCGACUGCCCCUUAGCAACAGCUCCUCACAAAUGACCCCUAGAAAGUGGUCCAGUAACUAGGUCGCCUCCCAGAAACAGAUCCUCGGCGACGGUUCCUCAGCACUGGCCCCCGCAGAAUCAGUUCCUUAAGCCGCUAGACCAUGGCCUCUUAACGGCCCGACUGCCCCCAGCCACCGUGGGUCUGAGGCUGCGUAGUUUGGGCGCGCAGCUCCAUGGCAACGGAAGGCUGCUUUGGGGUAGCGGGCGGGGCUGAGGCUGCGGAGGGAGAGCUUGUGCGCAGGCGUAGUGCAACAGCGGGGGUAAAGUGGGACGAGCAUCGCGGAGGGCAGAGUCAAAGCUGACUGUUGCCCAGACGAUUCUCCUGGAGACUGGGGCAGGUGCUCGAGAACUUGUCUAAAGCCAGUUGAAACUUGGGUCAACUGCUUACUUAAAAGACCAUUUACGCAGAAGUUAGGAUCUCCUGCGUCUCUUGGAUCUGAAUUCUGGCUCUCCCAGGGCUUUGCAGCCUGUGUUGUGCCCUCUAGGUGGUGACAUCUGACUCCUCUGGAUAACUCACAGGACUCUUUGGAUUGUUUUUGGUCGUUUAAGUUGGCGUGGUCACUAGUCCGGGCAGGAGGUGGGCUCAACAGUGGACAGGACAUGUUCCCUUUCCUCAGAGUCGCAGGGAUGACUGGCAACUCCUGUAGUUUUGUCUUGGAGAUGGAGAACCUUCAGCGUUAAGAAGUCCUCAAAAUAAUACAGAGCCUGUGGAAAUGUCAGUGGAGAUUGGUGGGGGGUACCUCUGCACUCCCUUCAGAUACUUUGCCUGUGAAAUACCACUGCAAUACUGUAUAGGUGUGUGUGUGGCUGGGGAUCGAACCCAGGUGUUCUAUAAGUUUAGAGCUUUGUGUAUGGAAGCCGGAUGUCCUAGUAAAGCAAUUUGGGAAAGAUAGCCAGUUGGUUUGUAACCUUUAGCUGAGGGAGAAUGUGAACUGGGCCUCCUACUCUGGGUUGACCCUGGUAUAUGGCUGAGCAGAGAGGGUUGUGAAGUAACCAUAUCCAAUACUAAUAUUUGUGGUAUGAAGUAUAAUCCCCACUAUAGUAAAAUAAGUGAAUAAAUUGGUCUUCUCUUUCGGCUGUGUGACUCACCUCCACCUCCUGGGGCCAACCUGAUGCAGUAAUGGGCUUAGGCCAGCUCCCCUGCCCUGGUCUCACGUUUGUACCAUCCCUUCCCAUGUGCUGUGUGCGCCGAUAAAGUGAACGUCCAAAUCUAAGACAAAGAAACCUGCAGGCCAGUCAUGAUUAGUGAGCUGCCCAGAAGACCAUACCUCUGUGGCUUUUUCAGUGUCGCACGGGGCUUUGUUAUCCAUGCAUAAACUGAGCUGAUGGCUCCUGGGGUUGCCUAUGGAGGCAGAAUUUUCAACCCUCCAGCUCUCCUGCUCAGCACCACAUCAGGAGAACAGCAUGCCUCUCUCCCUGGAAUGAAGAGGCCUUGAUCAUCCAACAACAGAUUCUACCCAAUGGAAAUGCCAGAGUUUUGCAUGUCAAAUAAGUAGUAGUGGACGUGAUUUAGUGGUCUCAUUUCUCUGAUGAAAUACCCGAAAGGACAGUUUAAGGAAGAAAGAGUUUAUUUUAGCUCACAGUUUAAAGGUGCGGUCCACCACAGUGGAGGAAGCUUGACAGUGAGAACAGUGGGACCAGGAGCGAGGCAGCUGGUCACACUGCAUCUGCAGUCAGGAGGAAGCAUAGAGUCUCUCAAAGGUGCAUCUCCUAGGCCAUUCCAAUCUAAUCAAAUGACAGUGAAAAUCAGCCAUGGGUGCCAGCCACUAAAGAACGCAUAGCUCUGUGGAGAUAUGAGCAGGCAUGAAGUCCUAUGUUCAUUUUCACUAUUGCUAUGGUUUAAAGUUUUAUAUAUUUUAACUUUUUUGUGCAUGAAUAUUAGCAUGCAUGUAUACAAGUGUACUAUGCAUGCUUAGUGCCCGAGAAGAUCAGAAGAAAGCUGUUGAUCCCUGGAAACUAGUUUGUAAGAUGCUAUGUGGAUGCUGGGGCUCAAACUCAUCUCCUCUGCAACUGUAGCAAGUGUUGUGGGGCAGUGGUGGUGCAUGCCUUUAAUCCCAGCCCAUGGGAGGCAAAGGCAGGCAAAUCUCUGUGAAUUCCAGGCCAGUCUGGUCUGCAGAGCACGAUCUAGCACAGCCAGUGUGACACACAGAAACUCUGCCUCAAAAAAAAAGAGAGAGAGAAAAGAAAGAGAGAGUACCAAUUGCUUUGAACCACUAAGACAUCUCCCCAGCCCCACCUUACUACUGCUCUAUCAGGGUAGCAGGUCCCCUAACCCAUACCCUAGUCUUGGUUCACCUAAAGGGGGGGGGUGUUCUUUAAGUAUUUGGAAAAGGAUACACACCUCUGAGAUGGACAGCCUUUCUGUGAGAAAGGCCUUGAGGUGUUAGACAGUGAGUGAGGCUCUCCCUCAGAGCAAGAAUAGGAGUGGAUGGAGAGAUGGAGAGAGUACAAGAACAAUCUAUAGUGUCUAUAGUGGAAGAAGCAGGCCAGGCAUGUUAGAAACAGCCUAAGAGGUCUGGAGAGAUGGCUCAGAGGUUGAACACACUAACCGCACUUUCAGAGGUACUGAGUUCAAUUCCCAGCAACCACAUGGAGGCUCACAACCAUCUGUAAUAUGACCUUGGUGCCCUCUUCUGGCGUGUAGUACAGAACACUGUACAUAACAAACAAACAAAUAAUAAAUAAAUAAAUAAUUUUUUUUUAAAAAAAGAAAAAGAAAAGAAAGAGCCAAAGACUAUAACAGCCGUGCAAGACCAAGGCUUUGUUUCCUGACCUUGGAUGAGUCAGCUCCAUAGUUAUCUCUCCUAAUUCCCUGAGUCGAACCCAGGUCAGAGGUAAAGACAGACCCAUAACUAGUUCAAAAUGUAUACAUACAACCUAUAUAUGUAUAUGUGUAGGAAGGAACCAAAGCUCAGAAGCUACACACAAAUCUUGCUAGGAACAAAAUUUUGAAAGCUUGUAACCCCGGGACUUGAGGCGAAGCCGGAUGGGUGGCCAGUAGUUCAGAGUCAUCCUUGACUAUAUAGCAAGUUCAAAACCAGCCUGAACUUCAUCAGACCCUGUCUGAAAAAUGAAAACAAAACAAAACAAAACAAAAAAAAACCAUAUCUAAGCAGUUCCUUGUGCUAGAAGCUCUAUAAGUCAUCUUUUUCAACACACCUGACUGGCCAGUUUCCAGGCAUCCCCAGGGCACCUGAGCAUAGGGCAUCCUUACUAUGUCGAUUAGGCUGUAUCUAAACCUCUCAUCUUCUGCUUCAGUCUCUGAAGUAGCUGGAACUCCACGUGUUCACCACUGGUGGGUGGGAUCUGCUUAUUUUAAAGUGUUUUCUGUGAUCCCAGGCAUCCAGUAAGGUCAAUGAAUGAGGUGAAACAGGGGCUAAAGCUUGUGAGUAGCUUUUAAAAGGAAUCCUUCAAAACUUUGUACUCAAAAGAAUUAAAAUGGAAGAUGUGUCCGGGGGAAGAGCAUACUAAUUGGUUUUCCAAUAUCAAAUGGUCAGCCUUGAGAACAAAAUACAAAGUGGCAUUAUACAGACUGAGCCGGUUAUAAUUAGGAAUAUAUAUGUAUAUACAUAUUUGUAUGUAGCAACAAUUAAUGAAAAAAAAAAAGAGGCCAUGAAUUUGAAAGAGAGAAAAGAGUGGUGGUAUACAGGAGAUGCUGGAGGGAGGAAAGGGAGAAAUGAUAGAGUUGUAAUUUCAAAAAUAAAAAAGACAAUU
rnacentral:lncRNA from 1 species